rnacentral:rRNA from 1 species
GAUGAACGCUAGCGGCAUGCUUUACACAUGCAAGUCGAACGGCAGCGGGGGCUUCGGUCCGCCGGCGAGUGGCGAACGGGUGAGUAAUGCAUCGGAACGUGCCCAGUCGUGGGGGAUAACACAUCGAAAGAUGUGCUAAUACCGCAUACGUCCUGAGGGAGAAAGCGGGGGAUCUUCGGACCUCGCGCGAUUGGAGCGGCCGAUGUCGGAUUAGCUAGUUGGUGGGGUAAAGGCCCACCAAGGCGACGAUCCGUAGCGGGUCUGAGAGGAUGAUCCGCCACACUGGGACUGAGACACGGCCCAGACUCCUACGGGAGGCAGCAGUGGGGAAUUUUGGACAAUGGGGGCAACCCUGAUCCAGCCAUGCCGCGUGAGUGAAGAAGGC